GACGAACGCUGGCGGCGUGCUUAACACAUGCAAGUCGAGCGCUGAAGCUUGGUGCUUGCACUGGGUGGAUGAGUGGCGAACGGGUGAGUAAUACGUGAGUAACCUGCCCUUGACUCUGGGAUAAGCCUGGGAAACUGGGUCUAAUACUGGAUACGACAUGUCACCGCAUGGUGGUGUGUGGAAAGGGUUUUACUGGUUUUGGAUGGGCUCACGGCCUAUCAGCUUGUUGGUGGGGUAAUGGCUCACCAAGGCGACGACGGGUAGCCGGCCUGAGAGGGUGACCGGCCACACUGGGACUGAGACACGGCCCAGACUCCUACGGGAGGCAGCAGUGGGGAAUAUUGCACAAUGGGCGGAAGCCUGAUGCAGCGACGCCGCGUGAGGGAUGACGGCCUUCGGGUUGUAAACCUCUUUCAGCACGGAAGAAGCGAAAGUGACGGUACGCGCAGAAGAAGCGCCGGCUAACUACGUG
rnacentral:rRNA from 1 species